CCUUCGGGGGGKGSUGCAGUAGGGAAUCUUCCGCAAUGGGCGAAAGCCUGACGGAGCAAUGCCGCGUGAGUGAUGAAGGUUUUCGGAUCGUAAAGCUCUGUUGCCAGGGAAGAACGCUUGGGAGAGUAACUGCUCUCAAGGUGACGGUACCUGAGAAGAAAGCCCCGGCUAACUACGUGCCAGCAGCCGCGGUAAUACGUAGGGGGCAAGCGUUGUCCGGAAUUAUUGGGCGUAAAGCGCGCGCAGGCGGUCAUUUAAGUCUGGUGUUUAAUCCCGGGGCUCAACCCCGGAUCGCACUGGAAACUGGGUGACUUGAGUGCAGAAGAGGAGAGUGGAAUUCCACGUGUAGCGGUGAAAUGCGUAGAUAUGUGGAGGAACACCAGUGGCGAAGGCGACUCUCUGGGCUGUAACUGACGCUGAGGCGCGAAAGCGUGGGGAGCAAACAGGAUUAGAUACCCCCWGGAAGUCAA
rnacentral:rRNA from 1 species